rnacentral:lncRNA from 1 species
ACGGAGUCUAUUUAGGAACUGCUCGGUCGCACAAAAGAGAGGAGGGACUUGACCUUUCAUGUUUCCUAGCUGCCUAUACAUAAAUCUCAAUAUUAGAGGAGGACUAACAGCUGAGAGUAGUACUUUAUUGUUCUUGGGCAACAAGAAAUCAGAGUCAAAGCAGCUCCAAAGUAGAGGGGCAAUAUGUUCUAGAUCAUCGUGUUACUCUCCUAAGAACACAGCAUCAAUCAGCCCAAGAAAAGGAGAAGCUAUUUUGCCACCUUAUUUCCAUUGUUCCCUCAAAGCCUUCAGUUCUUCGUCCUCUACAUGACCAGCCCACACCACUGUAACUACCGUCACACCAACCUCCGGUCCCUACUUCUUCCCACGUCAUCCGUUCACAUGUAUCUUGAUUUUACCUAACCUAACUGAACAACAAAACUGUGGUCCAUAACGAUCAUGUUAGGAUGCUCAAGUGCAUUACAAGAUACUAUGAAAGGGGUAUCUUCGUAUGAAUAAUUAAUUGCUAGCCUUGUUUCCAACAAACCCAAGUCCAACAUGGCUCUCGAAAAAGCUUCCCUUAUUUAACGCAAGGUAUCAUACUCCUAUACUACUAAAACCUCGAUUUUGAGCACUUCAUUGUUGUUUUAUAGGCAGAAUUGGAAGUACUAAAUGUGCCCAUUAUGGAUUCUUUUAACAUAAUUUUUUUAGUUAACAACCUUUCUAAUCACUUAGUAAAUUUGAGUCUCUUGAUAAAUCUAAUGCAACAAUUUUACCUUCCCGACAGCUCAAAGGCAAAAACUCCAUGAUUCUCAAGUGAAUGUAGUGGUUGAACACCUUCGGCAUUUUCCAGUACCUUAAUACCAUCCUCACUUGCUGAAACUGCUAGCAUUCUUCCUUCCUUUUUAAAUUGUAAACAAUGAGAAUCCUAACACAGAUAUUAAAUCAAGUGUUCUUUCAACUCUAACAUUAACCUCGAAAUAUAUAAUAGUGAACAUGAUGACCAAAGGUAUACAACUUAUCACCAAUGAAUCUGCAAACAGAUAACCAUGAUGUUUGCAAGCAAUAGCCUUAUCCAUCGUAAUGAAGGAAAAUGCCGUAUGAACCAAACCUUAAUUAAGGCUCGUCAAUGGGCCGGGCGGGGCUUUAAAGAUGAGAGAGAAAAUAUCGGAUCGGGUUUUUUUAGAAAGUUCAAGCUCAACUCAUGAGCCGGGCUUGAGAAAGCCCAUUGGGCUGGGCCGGGCUAAGCCCAACGGGCCCUACUUCAUUUAAAAAAAAAUCAUAAAGGAAUUUUAAUCUAAAUUUGAGAUUAAACUCACUUAAUUUCAAUAUUUUCACUUCAAACCAAAUUUAUAAAACACACAAUAAAGUUACACAGCUUAUAAGAUUUUCCACAAAAAUAAUAAAACUAAGUAUUAUUUUUGAGGUUAUUACAUAAUUA